AUGGCCGAGACGGAGACGCCAAGAAUCGCUGGGUGCUUCGGCCGGUGGAAGAAAGAGGGGACCGACGAGGCCGUGGCGGCGGUCAUGGCGCUCGUCGAUGCCGUCCGGUCCAGCAAGGCCGACACCAUGUCGCGGCUCCAAGCCGAGAUCAAGGCGGCCGCGGAGGAGCUCAAGUGCCUGGAUAGCGAGCCGUACGGCGCGCUCUCGGCGGCCUGCGACAUGUUCGUCCGGUACGUGCGGCGCGGCGGUGCCGUUGCCGUCGCCGAUGAUCAGCCCGCCCAGUUCCCCGCCCUCAAACGCCGCUUGGUCAGCCGCGCCACCAGGUUCGGGGACAUCUGCCGAGGCGCGCGCGGGACCAUCGCGACGCUCUGCCAGGACUUCUUGCUGGACGGCUGCACCGUGCUGGUGCACGGCCACUCGCCGCCCGUGCUCGACGCUCUCCGGCUGGCCGGCACCAGCGGCAAGCGCCUCCUAGUCCUAUGCACCGAGGGUAGGCCGGACGGCGCGGGGCUGAGGCUGGCCGGGGAGCUCGCGGCGGCCGGGGUGCCGGCGAGGGUCCUGCUCGACUCGGCGGUGGCCUACUCGAUGGCCCAGGUUGACGUGGUGCUGGUAGGAGCCGACUUGGUCACCGAGACCGGCGGCGUGGUCGGCGCCGUUGGCACGUACCAGGUCGCCCUGGUGGCUCGCGCCAUGGGCAAGCCUGUCUAUGUGGCAGCAGAGAGCUACAAGUUCGCGAGGCUGUAUCCUCUGGGACAGAAAGACAUCGAGCAGGGCGGUGGCCGAGACGUGGGCUUCGGCGACGUGCCUGUGCCGGCCGGCGUGGACGUCGAGGCGCCGGCGAGGGACUACACCCAGUCCAAGUACCUGGAGCUUCUGAUCACAGACCUCGGCGUGCUCCAGCCGGCGGCCGUUGGAGACGUGCUCCUCCAGCUCUCCAUGUGA
rnacentral:rRNA from 1 species